GCUCGCUAUUGGCUGCGCUGAGGGAGUAGCAGAGAGCGUUUACAGUACAGCCUUUGAAGAAGGCAGAGUGAAGUAUGACAGAUGAGGCUGAUCGGCACGCGAUGUUCACCGUUUGCAUAGAUGAAAACACCUCUCGAUAUACAAGUUUUCGAGACGUCGGACCGAAGAUUGACCCUCAGUGAAGCUUCCACCAUGGGAUUUGGGCAUUGUUUCACAUUUGAUAAUAUCUUGUUAGGCACAUCUAGUGUACCAAUCCCAUUGUAUUUCUUUAGUCAUGCACUUAAUCCUCAGUUGUUUUAAAGUAAAAGUACAAAAAAAAAAAAAAAGCAAAAAUUUCCCGCCCGGGUAGAAAAUAUGCCAAGUGAAAGCCAGCUUGCUCAGCAUAAAAUGAAAGAUUGAUGCCAGUACAAAAGUGAGAACUCAAAGGACAUGUUCUCAAGGUUACACCUUCUCAAAUAUUUCAUAUGAUUUAGUAAAUGUGCCCACAGGACAUUUAAUAGAUUGGCACGUUUUCUCCCCUGUGUGCCGUACCAGAAUUGCUGAAGGAAAUUAUGCAAUGUGAAAUUGAGCUGGAAUGGUUUUCAUGGUAACUGAAAUCCUAUGAGAAGCACACAAAUUCUCCAUAACAGUGAUCUGGAUUCGCAGCAUCCACAUUUGUUUCAUUUUCAAUGCACUUUUUUCAUUUGUAAUGACACCAAUUUGAUGAGCAUGAAAUAAUCAUGUCUUCAAACAAUGAACUGGUCUCAUUUAGCAAAAAAAAGUUUUUGUAAAGCCCCUUAGAUUUAUUAGUAAAUUAAAAGUAUUCAUGUCUAUAAGUCUCUAAACCGUCUAUGAGAUUGCUGUAAUGCGUUUUGAUUGGAAGUCCCAAAGAGAAGGGAAAUAUUUCCGCUUCUCUAUCACAAGAUAAUGUGCACCUAAUAACGGAUAAGCCCUCAGGGGCAUCCGUCCAUUCAUGCUACAAUAGCAGGCUUAAUUGCAUUAUUAAUUAUUUUUCCCUCAAGGGAUGGAGUGGAAUUAUACGUAUAUGAGCAAUUAUUACAUGGUAUAAACCUUUGAACGUGAAAGAGAAGAGCACAAUGCGAUAACCGUUUUGUUUUGCAUGUCAUGGUCACAUGAGCAAAUUAUGAUGUUAUGGCUGUAAGUGUAACAACAGGAAGUCUGGAGCGAGGCUUAUGCUGAAAAUGUGGCCACAAGUCAUUUAACUCUAACUUAGUCACUUGAUAAGUGUUCAUUCUUUUCUCAGGUGAUUGAUGUGUAGUACCAGCACACUUCAUUUCGCCUUGAGUAUUUCUCCGUGACAAGCAUUGAGCCAAGCAAUUAAAAUGCAUAUUAGCUGUACAGUACCUGAAAGAAACAAAUGCCCUCAAAUAAAUUUUAGAUGAGGUUAGGAAAUAUUUUAAAGCUCUGAACUGGUUAAGGUCAGAAGGAAGCUUGAGUGCUGGAGGGGUUUUGAACUCUCAUUCAUUGGUCAGCUUCAUGCAUGCUAAUAGUCAUGUGUCAUGCAGGUUUCAGAAAUUGUGCCUACGGGCUCGACUAAACUAGGUCACAUUUUGCUGUUGCUUGUAAGGGGAAGUUUUUCAUCUAGUGAAAAUGUGUACUAUCAUUGUGUGGCCAAACUGGCCAUAUAAACACUCUUAAGUGGAUUACACUGCCCAUUGAAUAAAACAGCAUUUUAUGGCAAUAAAGCAACCCUGAUUACAAGGUUAUAUUGUUAACCGAAAACAAUAAUAAUGUAUUUUAUCAUACAUAUUAAACCGUAUAUUUGAAGACAAAACAAACAUAAGAGGGAUAUAAAGCAGAGCAAAAGAGCACAAAGGACACAGGUCAGCAGUCAGGAGAGGAGGAGUACUAGAUGUGUCAUUGGCAAGGUCACCCCCUUAUCAUGAUCAUGUGUUUAGGAAUAACUUGUCUUGCUCAGACUGAGAGAUGCACAAAGUGAUAAGCAUUUCUCAGGAAAAACAUGUUUUUUAUUUCUUCAUGUUGCAUCAACUUGUAUGUAUCAUACACCAAAAUUGUAUCCAUCUGAAAAAAACAAAAAUUCUGACUAAAAUCUGUGCUUAAAUGUGUGUUGUUAACAGCGCAGAUUUUUCAAACUGAAAUGAUUUGAAACCUUCAAAUGCCAAAAUAUAUUACAAAAUGUACUUCAAGUGGCAGAAAGUA
rnacentral:lncRNA from 1 species